rnacentral:tRNA from 1 species
CGGGGUGUGGCGCAGUUGGCUAGCGCAUUUGCAUGGGGUGCAAAGGGUCGGACGUUCGAGUCGUCUCACCCCGACAA